rnacentral:rRNA from 1 species
AUUGAACGCUGGCGGCGUGCUUAACACAUGCAAGUCGGGCGGUAACAGGCGUAGCAAUACGUGCUGACGAGCGGCGAACGGGUGAGUAAUGCUUCGGAAUCUUCCUCGUAGUGGGGAAUAACCUGGGGAAACUCAGGCUAAUACCGCAUACGAACUACGGUUGAAAGCAGGGGAUCGCAAGACCUUGCGCUAUGAGAUGAGCCGAAGUCGGAUUAGCUAGUUGGUGAGGUAACGGCUCACCAAGGCGACGAUCCGUAGCUGGUCUGAGAGGACGACCAGCCACACUGGGACUGAGACACGGCCCAGACUCCUACGGGAGGCAGCAGUGGGGAAUAUUGGACAAUGGGGGCAACCCUGAUCCAGCGACGCCGCGUGUGUGAAGAAGGCCUGCGGGUUGUAAAGCACUUUUAGUGGGGAUGAAAAGCCGAAGGCUAAUACCUUUCGGUCUUGACCUAACCCAAAGAAAAAGCACCGGCUAACUCUGUGCCAGCAGCCGCGGUAAGAC